UGUCUUCCUCAGCAGGAGUGUGACCCUCUGUGGCUUUCACAAUUAUGCUGUCUGGUUGCGAGUCACCAGAGGAGCAGGAAGGAAACAGAAGAGAGGAUGCCCUUUGUUUCUCAAAGAACUGUGCCUCAGAAGCUGACUGCAGACUGUAUAAGGAGAGAUGCUCCACUUUCUUCACCAUCUUCAUGGCUCUUUGCUGUACUAUUUUCAGUAGCUCCAUGUCUCCAACAAGAGCACAGAAUGACAGAAUCACAGAAUGGCCUGGGUUGGAAGAGACCUCAAGGAUCAUGAAUCUCCAAACUGCCUGCCGGACAGGGCCACCAACCUCCCCAUUUACUAGACCAGGUUGCCCAGGGUCCCAUCCAACCUGGCCUUGAACACCUCCAGGGACGGAGCAUCUACAACCUCUCUGGGCAGCCCGUUCCAGCACCUCACCACUCUCCUGGGGCUCUUCAAAUGGAACCAGGAAAUGCUUGUGGAAGUUCAGAAAGCUGCUAAAAUGAGGGACCUGUGGAAUUUCCAUCUGGAGACAGUCAUUUAUCAACAGGUGAAGCAGAAGGGAGCAAACAUGCUAAAAAAGCUGGUCAUGGUAAAUAAAACAUACAUAAAAAGAAAAAGGAAGCAAAGGCUCAGAGAUGUAUAUUAGAUGAUAGUCGUGAUUAAAUCUAUGUUUGCAAAUGUAUAUUUUUGUUCAUUCAAAACCAAAUUUCUGUUUAAAUGAGUGACUAGCCCCAAAAAGUCUGUUUUG
ensembl:lncRNA